GCCCACGUAGCUCAGUCGGUAGAGCGCUUCCUUGGUAAGGAAGAGGUUCAUCGGUUCAAUUCCGAUCGUGGGCUCCA
rnacentral:tRNA from 7 species